UCGCUAAUCGUUGUUACAGAGAGUAUCUGAAAUAAACAGAUCCCCUGGCAAUUACGACUCCCUGAAAACCUGUCGAAGGGUUUUAAAUUAAGAAACUACAGAACAUAUCGGUUUCUCGUCUCCUUCGAACGUUGAUCUAUUUCCCGGCAAAUGGCGUUUUCCUAAAACCCUAAUCUAAUGUUCAAUCUGAGAGACGAUUGUAGUUCUUUCUCUGUAUUAUAAUCGUUUCUCAAAUUUUUUCUUUUCUAUGUCUUCGAUUCUUCUUCUUCUCUUCCUUCUGCUUCUCCUGAGCUUCCAGGUGUCAUCCGUUUCCGUUGGAUCGCGUGCGAUCCUUCGGACACUUACAGGUCCUGAUAUUCCAGAUGCGGCUGCUGAUUUGAACAGCACCAUUUUUGAUGAUGUUCUUAGGAACUCUCCGGCUUCCUUCUCCAUCGUCGAAUUCUUUGCUCAUUGGUGUCCCGCCUGCAGAAAUUACAAGCCUCAGUAUGAAAAGGUUGCAAGGCUUUUCAAUGGACCUCACGCAGCUCAUCCUGGAGUUAUAUUCAUGGCGAGGGUAGACUGUGCAUCGAAGAUAAAUACAAAGCUCUGUGAUAGAUUUUCAGUUGGCCAUUAUCCUAUGCUUCUUUGGGGUCAUCCAUCUAAAUUUGCAUCUGGUGGUUGGGAACCUAAACAAGACAAAAGCGAAAUACGUCUCAUUGAUGAUGGACGGACAGCUGAUCGCCUUCUUAAUUGGAUUAAUAAGCAAUUGGGAAGUUCAUACAACUUGGAUGAUGAAAAAUAUGAGAAUGAGCAUCUUGCACAGAAUUCGUCAGACCCUGAACAGAUUGUCCGUGCUAUAUAUGAUGUUGAAGAGGCAACUUCAAAUGCCUUCGAGAUUAUAUUUGAUCACAAGAUGAUCAAGUCAGAGACUCGAGGCUCACUUAUUAGGUUCCUUCAACUCUUGGUGGCACAUCACCCUUCCAGGAGGUGUCGGAAGGGAAGUGCAGAAAUACUUGUAAACUUUGAUGAUUUGUGGCCUUCAGAUCUGUGGUCUGUCACUAAGCAAGAAGCUGUCAUUUCUCAUGAAAAGGAUGCUUUUAAGAGUUUCAGGAUUUGUGGGACAGAUGUUCCUCGUGGUUAUUGGAUAUUUUGUCGGGGCAGCAAGCCAGACACCAGGGGCUAUAGCUGUGGCUUGUGGGUUCUGCUGCAUUCACUCUCUGUAAGGAUAGAAGAUGGAGAGAGCCACUUGGCCUUUACAGCUAUUUGUGACUUCAUUCACAACUUUUUCAUCUGCCAGGACUGCCGCCAGCAUUUCUAUAAGAUGUGUUCAAGUGUUUCUAGUCCUUUCAACAAGACAUAUGACCUGGCUCUGUGGUUGUGGAGUACACAUAACAAGGUCAACGAAAGGCUAAAGGUAGAAGAGGCCUCUCUGGCAACUGGUGACCCAGAAUUCCCAAAGAUCACAUGGCCUCCAAAGAAGCUUUGCCCGUCAUGUUACCAAUCCAUGAGCAGGAGUAGCAACGGCACAAUUCUAGUUGAUUGGAACGAAGAUGAGGUGUUUAAGUUCUUGGUUGGUUAUUAUGGGAAGAUGCUUGAGUCAUCAUACAAAGACAAGGAUCUUAUGAGAGACGGCGGAAGCUCUGGGUCUUUAGUAGAUGAUGGGGUUACCUCAACAAAUGCAGUUGCUGUUCCUGUUGGGGCUGCAUUGGCCAUUGCUAUAGCCAGCUGUGCAUUUGGAGCAGCUGCUUGUUACUGGCGUUCACAGCAGAAGAAUCGGAAGUAUUUCCACCACUUACACCCUUUAAAGAACAUCUGAUUAUUAGAAGGGUAGUCAUCAUGUUUAUGGGCCCUUUUCACACAUUAACACACAAGAAAGAAAGAAAAAAAAAGCCUAGGAGAUUCUGGAGCUCAGAUUAUUCAAGAUCAAAACCGGGCAUUGCCAUUACUCAAGUUGCAUAACAUGGAAAAACUUGGUGGGAAUUCACAUCCAUUCAACCAAAGCUGCAUAGAGACUUCACUGCCCCAGGUCUUUUAUGCGUUCCUUUUUCCCCCUUCCUUUUGUACCAAGCUUUAAUAUGAAAUGUACAGAUUUCUUACAAUCUAAAUUUUGGAAGUGCCAAGAUCACUAUCUCUUUCAUUUAAUUUUUAUUCAUAUGUUGUAUCUGUUUCUUUAA